CAAUAAAGUAUAGAAAUAGGGAAUGUGUAAAAAAAAAAACUGAUCAAAAUGUUUAAAACAACCCUUAGGCCAACAUUCAAUGGGUCUUCAAUGUGAAAAAUUUCCAUCAAAAGUCUGGCUUGAGCAGGCUCCGAACAUGCAACUUCUAUGACAUGUUUGACGAGGAAAUGGACACUGCUUGUACAUGUUGAAAAUACAAGAGAUGAACAAACAUGAAAACCACACCAUUUUUCGAUAUCAAAAAAUAAAAAUUACUGACUUGAAACAGGC
rnacentral:lncRNA from 1 species